UACGUAGGGUGCAAGCGUUGUCCGGAAUUAUUGGGCGUAAAGAGCUCGUAGGCGGUUCGUCGCGUCGGCUGUGAAAACCUGAGGCUCAACCUCAGGCCUGCAGUCGAUACGGGCGGACUUGAGUACUGCAGGGGAGACUGGAAUUCCUGGUGUAGCGGUGAAAUGCGCAGAUAUCGGGAGGAACACCGGUGGCGAAGGCGGUUCUCUGGGCCUUACCUGACGCUGAGGAGCGAAAGCGUGGGGAGCAAACAGG
rnacentral:rRNA from 1 species